rnacentral:tRNA from 3 species
UGCCCUAUGGUGUAAUUGGCAACACGUCAGAUUCUGGAUCUGAAGUCUCCAGGUUCGACCCCUGGUAGGGCAA